rnacentral:rRNA from 1 species
GAUCCUGGCUCAGGAUGAACGCUAGCUACAGGCUUAACACAUGCAAGUCGAGGGGAAACGACAUCGAAAGCUUGCUUCCGAUAGGCGUCGACCGGCGCACGGGUGAGUAACGCGUAUCCAACCUGCCCACCACUUGGGGAUAACCUUGCGAAAGUAAGACUAAUACCCAAUGAUAUCUCUAGAAGACAUCUGAAAGAGAUUAAAGAUUCAUCGGUGAUGGAUGGGGAUGCGU